UACGAAGGGGGCUAGCGUUGUUCGGAUUUACUGGGCGUAAAGGGCGCGUAGGCGGUUCGUUAAGUCCUGUGUGAAAUCCCCCGGCUCAACUGGGGAACUGCACAGGAAACUAGCGGGCUUGAGUUCGGGAGAGGGAAGCGGAAUUCCGGGUGUAGCGGUGAAAUGCGUAGAUAUCCGGAGGAACACCGGUGGCGAAGGCGGCUUCCUGGACCGACACUGACGCUGAGGCGCGAAAGCUAGGGGAGCAAACGGG
rnacentral:rRNA from 1 species